rnacentral:rRNA from 1 species
AUACGUAGGGGGCAAGCGUUGUCCGGAAUUACUGGGCGUAAAGAGCUCGUAGGCGGCUCAGCAAGUCGGUCGUGAAAGCCCGAGGCUCAACCUCGGAACUGCGGUCGAUACUGCUGUGGCUAGAGUCCGGUAGUGGAGAGUGGAAUUCCCGGUGUAGCGGUGGAAUGCGCAGAUAUCGGGAGGAACACCAGUGGCGAAGGCGGCUCUCUGGGCCGGUACUGACGCUGAGGAGCGAAAGCGUGGGGAGCAAACAGGAUUAGAAACCCUUGUAGUCC